GUUUGAUCCCCGCGUAACUGCAGUUAUUAUGAAGUCAAUAAGUAUAGUUCUGCUGUGCUUAGCGGAUUUAGUCUCUAUUCAAGCGUUACCGACUCGUAAGUAUUCGUUUUUAAUAUCGAAGUAUGGCUUGGGGUUAGUUUUAUUUUACUGUAAGUAGAGAAACACAGCCAUUCUAUGCCGUUAUACUGUAUAAUAUGUAAAAAUAAAGUAAUGUGUUCUCUCUCAAAAUAAAUAAAUUGCAAUUAGUUUUUA